AAAAUCAGUAAAUCAGUAAAUAAGUAAGAUAAGUUUUAUAAAUUAGGUUAAAAAGUAAAAUAAGAGAAAAUAAUAAGUAAAAUAAGUAAGAAAAAAAGCAAAAUCAAUAAAAAUAAUACGUAAAAUAAAAGAAAGUAAAAUAAGUAAAAAAGGUAACAUUAGUAAAAAUAAAAAGUCAAAUUAAUUAAAAGUAAAAAAAAGUGAAAUAAGUAAAAAUAAUAAAUAAUCUAAGUAAAAAUAAUAAUUGAAAUAAGUAAAAAAGUAAUAUAAGUAAAAUAAGUUAAAGAAAUAGUAAAAUAUGUAAAAAUAAUAAAUUAAAUCAGUAAAAUAAAACUAAAAAUAAAUAAAAAGAUAAGUAAAAUUAGUACAUAGAGUAAAAUGAACAUCAGUAAAAAAUUUGAGUUAAAAAAGAAAAUGUUCAAAAGACAAGAAACAAAAAAAAAAACGAAACCUCAGAAAAGUAAAAAGAUUAAAUAUUCAACAGACAUGAAAUUAUUAAAAAAAAAAGAUCGGUGAAAAGUUAGAAAAGUUAGAUAUUCAAAGGACGGGAGAUAAAAAAAAAGACCGGUGAAAAGUUAGAAAAGUUAGAUAUUCAAAGGAAGAGAGAUUUAAAAAAGACGAGUGAAAAGUUAGAAAAGUUAGAUAUUCAAAGGACGGGAGAUUUAAAAAAGACGAGUGAAAAGUUAGAAAAGUUAGAUAUUCAAAGGACGGGAGAUUUAAAAAAGACGAGUGAAAAGUUAGAAAAGUUAGAUAUUCAAAGGACGGGAGAUUUAAAAAAGACGAGUGAAAAGUUAGAAAAGUUAGAUAUUCAAAGGACGGGAGAUUUAAAAAAGACGAGUGAAAAGUUAGAAAAGUUAGAUAUUCAAAGGACGGGAGAUUUAAAAAAGACGAGUGAAAAGUUAGAAAAGUUAGAUAUUCAAAGGACGGGAGAUUAAAAAAAAAGACAUAAGUGAAAAUUAGAAAAGUUAGAUAUUCAAAGGACGGGAGAUAAAAAAAAGACUAGUGAAAAGUUAGAAAAGUUAGAUAUUCAAAGGACAUGAGAUAAAAAAAACAUCAGUGAACAGUUAGAAAAGUUAGAUAUUCAAAGGACAUGAGAUAAAAAAAAAACAUCAGUGAACAGUUAGAAAAGUUAGAUAUUCAAAGGACAUGAGGAAAAAAAAAGACAUCAGUGAACAAUUAGAAAAGUUAGAUAUUCAAAGGACAUGAGGAAAAAAAAAGACAUCAGUGAAAAAAACAUCAGUAAAAAAACAUCAGUGAAAAAAACAUCAGUAAAAAAACAUCAGUAAAAAAA